UACAGAGACUGCAAGCGUUAUUCGGAUUCACUGGGCGUAAAGGGUGCGCAGGCGGCCGUGUGUGUGAGGCGUGAAAGCCCGGGGCUCAACCCCGGAAUUGCACCUCAAACUACAUGGCUAGAGCAUUGGAGAGGGUAGCGGAAUUCACGGUGUAGCAGUGAAAUGCGUAGAUAUCGUGAGGAACACCAGAGGCGAAGGCGGCUACCUGGACAAUUGCUGACGCUCAGGCACGAAAGCGUAGGGAGCAAAAGGG
rnacentral:rRNA from 1 species